rnacentral:rRNA from 1 species
GCAUGCUUACACAUGCAAGUCGAACGGCAGCGGGGAGAAGCUGCUUCUCCUGCCGGCGAGUGGCGAACGGGUGAGUAAUACAUCGGAACGUGCCCUGUAGUGGGGGAUAACUAGUCGAAAGAUUAGCUAAUACCGCAUACGACUGAGGGUGAAAGUGGGGGACCGCAAGGCCUCAUGCUAUAGGAGCGGCCGAUGUCUGAUUAGCUAGUUGGUGGGGUAAAGGCCCACCAAGGCGACGAUCAGUAGCUGGUCUGAGAGGACGAUCAGCCACACUGGGACUGAGACACGGCCCAGACUCCUACGGGAGGCAGCAGUGGGGAAUUUUGGACAAUGGGCGAAAGCCUGAUCCAGCAAUGCCGCGUGUGUGAAGAAGGCCUUCGGGUUGUAAAGCACUUUUGUCCGGAAAGAAAUGGCUCUGGUUAAUACCUGGGGUCGAUGACGGUACCGGAAGAAUAAGGACCGGCUAACUACGUGCCAGCAGCCGCGGUAAUACGUAGGGUCCAAGCGUUAAUCGGAAUUACUGGGCGUAAAGCGUGCGCAGGCGGUUGUGCAAGACCGAUGUGAAAUCCCCGAGCUUAACUUGGGAAUUGCAUUGGUGACUGCACGGCUAGAGUGUGUCAGAGGGGGGUAGAAUUCCACGUGUAGCAGUGAAAUGCGUAGAGAUGUGGAGGAAUACCGAUGGCGAAGGCAGCCCCCUGGGAUAACACUGACGCUCAUGCACGAAAGCGUGGGGAGCAAACAGGAUUAGAUACCCUGGUAGUCCACGCCCUAAACGAUGUCAACUAGUUGUUGGGGAUUCAUUUCCUUAGUAACGUAGCUAACGCGUGAAGUUGACCGCCUGGGGAGUACGGUCGCAAGAUUAAAACUCAAAGGAAUUGACGGGGACCCGCACAAGCGGUGGAUGAUGUGGAUUAAUUCGAUGCAACGCGAAAAACCUUACCUACCCUUGACAUGCCACUAACGAAGCAGAGAUGCAUUAGGUGCUCGAAAGAGAAAGUGGACAC